rnacentral:rRNA from 1 species
UGGGGAAUUUUGGACAAUGGGCGCAAGCCUGAUCCAGCCAUGCCGCGUGCGGGGAGAAGGCCUUCGGGUUGUAAACCGCUUUCGUCAGGGAAGAAAUCUUCUGAGUUAAUACCUCGGGAGGAUGACGGUACCUGAAGAAUAAGCACCGGCUAACUACGUGCCAGCAGCCGCGGUAAUACGUAGGGUGCAAGCGUUAAUCGGAAUUACUGGGCGUAAAGCGUGCGCAGGCGGUUUUGUAAGACAGAGGUGAAAUCCCCGGGCUCAACCUGGGAACUGCCUUUGUGACUGCAAGGCUUGAGUGCGGCAGAGGGGGAUGGAAUUCCGCGUGUAGCAGUGAAAUGCGUAGAUAUGCGGAGGAACACCGAUGGCGAAGGCAAUCCCCUGGGCCUGCACUGACGCUCAUGCACGAAAGCGUGGGGAGCAAACAGGAUUAGAUACCCUGGUAGUCCACGCCCUAAACGAUGUCAACUGGUUGUUGGGAAGGUUCCUUCUCAGUAACGUAGCUAACGCGUGAAGUUGACCGCCUGGGGAGUACGGCCGCAAGGUU